rnacentral:lncRNA from 1 species
UCAUGUGACAUGCCUGCUUCCCCUUUGCCUUCCACCGCAAUUGUAAGGUUCCCGAGGCCCUUGCCAGAAACCAAGCAGGUGUUGGCGCCAUGCUUGUACAGCCUGCAGAACCGCUCCCACAGAACAUGGAUGACUGCCAUCACACUGUUUAUGAUGAGUAUUGCACUUGACUGGUCAUUUGUCAUCCUUAUAAUGUGCAGAGUGCCUUGGACUGACAAACUGAAAUACAUUUUGAUUAGGCAACAUGAGCAGAAGGAGUGUGGGGAGAGGACUGUAUAAAUCUGUUUUACUCAACCUUGAAGAAAUGUUAAGUGUUAAUUCCCUGCGUCAAAUAAAGUACACCAAGUAUAUAUGCAGCGUUCCUGAGAGCUUCCUAAUGAACUGAAAAAACAAACAAUCUG